CGCCCAGAAAAGCUCGGGUGACUCGGGGGAAAAGCGAGAUUGUGAAAGCGCUGAGCGCGACCGGGUGGCGCGCGGAGUCCUCGCGACGGCGACGAAGCGGACGGCGGCACGCGUGGCAUCGCUGGUCACUCGAACCUGUUUCCAUCGCCCUUUUUCCGCUCCAUCUGCGGAGGAGAUUUAAUUUCAGAAAAUGUUUCAGCUGGGAAGCCGGCUGGUCCACUUUCAGUUUGCUUCUGGUACUGCUCAGUGCAGUGGCAAAAAUGGAAGUGUGGACCAGCCAUCGGAAGAACCAUCAUCCCAUUCAUCAGCUCAACCAUCAGCCCCACCAUCAGCUCCACCAUCAGCCCAAUCAUCUGUAAAACUCCCAUCAUGUCAACCUUCACUUGCAUCGUCAGUCCAAACUUCAGUCCAACCCUCCAGCAGUCCACCACCCCAAUCAUCUAUCCAACCAUCACUUAGUGUUAGCGACUUAAUUAUGAAACUCAGGACUAUUGGUGGACUGAAAAAAGACGACAUUUUUUGCAACUUGAGGAUUCCCAAUCAAUUUCAGACUGCAAAGGAGGAAGUCAGCCUGCUGAUUGUGACAGGUCGUGGAAUCUUCUGCAUUGAUGUCAAGGACUGGAGAGGUGAAGUGUCAGUGCAGAAGCAGAACUGGCAGCUGAAACUGAAACAAGAAGGCCAAAACAUCACAAAUAUCCGCCAGGUUCCCGACCCCAUACAAGCCAUCACGACCAAGGCCGACCAUCUGUGGAAUCAUGUCAAACGCAGCGGAGCGUCUGUACGGAGGUCCCUCUUCCUGCCCAGAGUGCUCUUCCUUUCCGCAAACUGCCAGCUGGACGGAGAGCUGAGGCAGAGGAGGGAGCUGGUAUCUCACGGCAGCUUGGACGCCUUCGUGUGCUCCCUCAAAGAAGGCUACGUGGCCUGGAUGUCAGAUGCUCUGACUCCUUCCUGGCUCUCUGGUCACCUCUCAUACAGACAGUUGAGGGGUGUGAGGGAGACGCUCCGGAGGACGGGCACCUGGGACUUGGUCCGGCUGUGCGGCGGCGAGCAGCUCAAGGGAGAUUACCAGGGCUGCCAGUACAUUGCGUUGGACCGCCAAGAGACGGAGGAGCUGGAGUUCUCCGGGGACCGGGCCCUGUGGAUGGGCUCGCUUUGGACGCUGCUGGGGCACUCUCCGCAGGUGACGGUUAAGAUGUACAAAAGAGGCGGCGGAGGCUGGCUGUGCCGGACCUUGAGCGGCUCAGCCACUAUUCCCAGCAGUGCCCAAGUGGUCUUCCGGAUCAGCGGUGACGGUGCCGAUGCCCGCAUCCCUGCCAGCUGUAUCCACAGCAUCUCCCUCAGCAUCUGAACUAGACCACUCUAUCUGCCUUGACAAUACCCCAAGGAGAUGGUAGUUGGACACUUCUAGCUGCACCUGGUAACUGUGUCCUAUUCGGGCACUCGCUGGCAUCCAACAGAUGUAUUAGAGCCCGGAUCUGUUGUUCCCUCGAACAGGUCUCCAAAUCACACGCCACCAAGGUUCAUUUUCUUUGUUACUAAAUAUUUUCACGUUCACACUAAUGAAGCGUUGGUCUUGCGGUAUUUUUGAUGCGAUGCUGAUGGAUGUCUUUUCCUCAUCGUCAGCCUCGGCCCACAGGGAAUCUACACUUUGCCUCCCGUAAAACAUCUUCCUCUACAGUCGUACAUAUCACAGGUCCUUUUGCGAUCGGCAUUUACGAUUACGAUGAGCAAUAAAUCCAGGCUGACGUUUAUAGCGUCA
rnacentral:lncRNA from 1 species